rnacentral:snoRNA from 1 species
AACCCAUGGUGAGGACACCUUCUCAAAAGGUCUUUGUAUCUCUCCCAUGCAUCGUAGAGAGUUUUUAAAUCCAUCUGCAUAAAAGAAGAGAUAUCAUUACGUAAUUU